UAGUCAUACGAUCGUCUCAAAGAUUAAGCCAUGCAUGUGUAAGUAUAAAUAGUUAACUUUGAAACUGCGAAUGGCUCAUUAUAUCAGUUAUAGUUUAUUUGAUGAAGAAUACUAAUUGGAUAACCGUAGUAAUUCUAGAGCUAAUACAUGUAUAAAGUCUUGUAGACUGCAUUUAUUAGAAUGAAAACCAUAGGUUUCGGCCUAUUCGUGAGUAAUAAUAACUAAUCAUAUCGUAUGCUUAAGUAGCGA
rnacentral:rRNA from 1 species